CCUAAGGGAUCCGGACAGCCCGGCCCCGAGGGAUCCCCACGGCCCGGCCCGGCGUCCCUCUGCCCAAACACCGCGCUCACACUGCCGUUAUCCUGGGGGAUCCCGAGUCUGCCUUUUCUCAAAGUAAACUGGGAAUGUUUUUAUCAGAGGAGCUGAAUUCCCAUCUAUGAGUAUCAGAGCUGGGGGAAGCUGCACUGAGGAUCCCACAGCCUUGGCAGUGCUGCCAUCUAAUGCACCAGGACAAGGAGUACAAGCACCCACGUCACUGCAACACUCAGGUAAAAUGUUUUCUCCGAGUUCAGUUCCAAAAAUGUUGCAUCCCUUCAGUGCCUUGGCUUGCAAUCCUGCUAACAGUGUCGUGACAAAUUAUCUCAUCAUCAAGCUGAUGGAUAUAAAUAGCCAUUAACAUAUUCCAUCUCAAGGGACUUCUACUGGAAUGUCACAGUGCUCAACCACAAACCUUGUGUGUAUGAACCUGACACUGACUUGUGUCCAUCUGAGAAUUCAGUUCAGUAACACAGCAGCUCUGAAAUACCAAGGAGGAAAGGAAGGCCUACGGACUUCCAAAUCAUGGAGCUGGAAGGGCAGGUUUCCAUAUUCCAGGAGAGCUUUCUGAUUAUUCUGUGGACUUUCCUUUUUCUGAGACACCAGUCAGACACAGUAUGUUUGCAGGAUACAGAAGGCUAAUGAAGCACAUCAAGAUGAUGAUGGUAAACAGAGGAUGAGUAGCAGGAUGAUGCUCCUUCCCAUCCCAUCUGUUCUCAGAAACAGUAGCAAACAGACAGGCAGUAGGCAGAGCACAGGGAUAAAACUGGUCUCUACGUGGUUGUUUAUUUAUUUGAAGUUUCAAAAGUGACUCCUUGCAAGAUCAAGGAUCUACAGCCAUCCUUGUUACACCCAGUUACUUCUUCAGAUCCUCUCAAAAGACAUACCACCAACUACUUUUACUGAACAUGGAUAGUUUUUCUUGUUGGAAAGCAAGUGUUAAAAAAAUCCCAACUAAAUAAAAAAACCCCCACCUGACCAACCAGACUGGUGCUGGUGGUCUGCUACAGAUUUCUGAUCCAGAUUUAUAUAGUUGUGCAAAUAUGAUAAUUUUUUAUCCCAUUUUCCAUUUCUCCAUUCAUCUCAAAUGUGCACACAUUUUAUUUUAACCUUAAAAUCAAACUAAAGGUACUCAGUAAGGCAAAGAUAUUAUAAGACAGUUCUCAUCCACCUGUUGGAAAUAUGGAGAAACAUGCUAUUCUUCAGUGAUAUCAUACAACCUGAAAUCCAUUAAGAUCAGUAACAAAUAAACAGAAUAUCAUGCAGAGUUAUGAUUUUCUGCAGUGGUCCAUCUGUGAACUCUACAGAUCCAUCUCAUCUCAUCCCACAACAAGUUUGCAGCAGUUCCUGGGGAAAACCAGGUACACAGGCAGAAUGGAAAGGCAUUAAGAAUACUGAACACCUUUAAUAAUCACAUCUGGCUCUGAAAAAUACUCCAUCUGAAAUUACAUAGUAGAAGAACCACAAAUACCUGUUAUCCCUGUUCCUACUAUUCCUUAAGCACCUGCUCACACCAAGAUUUAUGUUUCACUGAAUAUUGAGCUUUUUUUCAGGUUUUAACCUUAUUCAACAGCAACAUCUAGUUCAGUUUGUCCCAUUCUUUAAAACUUAACUAAACUUUUCCAUGGUCUUCAGUUCUUUACAUGUUGCUUGGGUAUGGCUUGUCAGUCCCUCCCAACUCUGAACACUGGUGAUUCCCUGAUCUAUGAUGCUGUCAAGCAUCUGGCAGUUAACUUUGUCUUGGCAUCACUGGAGAAACUGAAAGCAUCAGGAGUCCGUCACCUCAGCUUCUACUGAACUGGACACCACAUCACCUUGAUGUACAAACAUUCUCCCCUUCAAUACCUGAAACACUGCUGGUUCCCAGUUUCUUCAAAGAAAAAAAAAGUUAUUUGCCAUUUGCUGGACAGCAUUCUUCUUCCUGCAGGCAGUAUCAUUCCCAGCAAUGCAGCCUGAGUUUUCCUAGUUUUUCUGGACUCUCACCUUCCUAAGCAGAAGUAGCACUGCUCUAGUAGAGGAAUAAGUGGAGUUGUGAAAGGAUGUGCAAAACCAAAUGCACACAUGCAGAGGGAAGAAAGAUGGUGAUCCUGGAGCCUGAUGGACCCAUGGUCUGACCCACUUUAGUGACUUUUACAAUGUUUAAUUUGUAAAUGCACACAAUGCUAUAAAUUAAAAGUCUGCACUAGUUCCAACUGCAGCUUUAACAAUACCCUCAAGGACUUUGUAAGUAAAAGCUAUUAAAGGAACAAGGUACUACUGCUACUCCCCCAUGGGAGCAGAGAUCCACCUGCAGCCUGGAGGGGGAGGACCCUGCACUGGAGCAGGUGGAUGCCCAAAGGAGGCUGUGACCCUGUGGGAAGCCCGUAGUGGAGCAGGCUCCUGGCAGGACCUGUGGCCCUGUGGGGGACACUGGAGCAGCCUGUUCCUGCAGGACUGCACCCCAUGGAAGGGACCAACACUGGAACAGUUUGUGAAGAACUUGGGAAGUUUGUAUAGCCCUUGGGAAGGACUCAUGUUGGAAAAGUUUUUGGAGGACUGUGUCCUGUGGGAGCGACAUCCCACACUGGAACAGGGAAGGGCUCCCCUCCCUGAGGAGAAAGCAGCAGCACCAGAAACAACCUGUGAGGAAGUGAGUGUAACCUCCAUUCACCAUCUCCCCUGAGUGAGCAGGGAGGGGUGAGGUAAAGAACUGGGGAUAAAGUUAAGCCUAGUAAGGAAGGAGGGGUCAGGGGAAGGAGCUCUAAAUCAAAUGGUAAGAAAUUCAACUAAUUUUCCUAAGUGGAGUCUGUUUUGCCUGUGACAGCAACUGGUGAAUGAUCUCCCCCCACCCUUAUCUCAAUCCAUGAGCUUUUUGUUGUAUUUUGUCUCCCUUCUCCAACCCGGGAGUGACAGAGUGGCUUUGGUGGGCACCUGAUAUCUAGCCUGGAUUAAUCCUCAGCACAAAUCUAUUUAACCAGCUCCCCAGAAUUCAAUGGAUUUUUGAUGAUUAAUCAAAAUCAGAAGAAAAAUAAAUCCUACCUCACGUUUGAUACCAUUACCUUCCCAAUGUGACAGAAGAUUAACAGCUGUGCUGGCAAAGCACAAUAAACAUGAAGUAUAACACAGACACUAUGCAGCAGCUUAGAUGAGAAGCAGCAGGUUAUAAAACCAAGAGCUAAAACCUUCCCAUGAGCAUGUGCUACCCCUUCAGUCUCACAAGCUGGUUCAGAGUACUGGUUUCUGGCAUAAGGGAUCUGGUUCAGCUACACAGUAGCUUUACUAAAAAGACAGAGAGAAAACCCACCAAAAUAUUAUCUCCUCAUUCAAACACUUCAAGAAGUUGCACAGUCUUCUAGGGUGAGUGCACAAGGUGGCCAAACCACUUUGUGUAUAACAGAAAUGCCUUCUUUGAAGUAAUGAGACUUCACAUCACUCUGGUGAAGAGUUUUCAAAAUCAGCCUCGCCAGGCUCUGUGGUGAGGCCCUGUGGAAGCAAAAACCAAAUCCUUGCAGCCUGGUUUAGCAUCUUGAAACACAGAGGAAUAAAUUCUGUCAGGGAUCAGGACUCCCAGAAACCACAAAUCUCAAGAGUUCUUGAAGGAAAAGAAGGAAAACAAGUUCUUGCAAGGAAAAUUACUAAUAUUGAAAGAAUCCCAUUUUCUGUCCUUUAACAUACUACAAUUUUGCUUAUUUGUCAGCAGUUUUCAAGCAGGUUAAGGUUUCAGUUCUUACCUACAGCCAGUGCUGCACUCUGUUCUUGGCCUCCAGUCUGUUUUAAAAAGAAAAAAGAGAUUACGGAAAUUAAUUCUUUUACACCAAAAGUCUUAAAUGCAAUGCGAUGUGACCUUGGAAGAGCAAACACACAUCUGUUCCAGACAUACUGUUCUUAUGUAUCUACUUCAUAAACAUAGUCCUGGGAUCCAGGACUUUUACAAAAUAUGCUAAGAAAAUGUCAUUCAGAACUGUGUUUUAUCUCUAGGCAUACAAAUAAAUAGGGAAUGCCAUUGUUUGGCAAUGAAUGUGCUUCCAGGGAAAAAUGCUGCCAUAUUAGACAAUGCAUAAACAUAUAUAUUCCAGAAUAAAUUUAAUAACUACAGAGUCAAAGCUGCAAUAAAAUACCAGUGGCAAACUGUUCUGCUUGCAUUUCACAUUGCUUUAACAAGAAAAUCACACAAGAUUCUAAUCCAACCACACAAAUGUGCACUUGAAAAAAUUCAAGGCUUGCAUGCUGACCUCCAGAGAAGGCAUUUUCAAGUCACUGAAAACCAUUUGCUUAACAAAGAAAACUAGUGUGCUUGGACAGCCUCAGUGUGCUGCACACAUCAUUACCACCGUCAUAACAUGGUGAAAAAAUUAUGUUAAUAGUACAGUUUAAAGGAGAAGAUCUGGAGUAUUACAGUAACUGCAAGCUUCACAGGAAAUAAUAGUGUAAUAUUAGCUAGGGAAGGCUCAGCACAGGCAAGAGGCAGCGUGGAGACUAUAGUGAGAAUGACUCUUCACAGCCCAGAGAACUGAACAUAAGCAAACCCAUGACCAUCAAAAACAUAACAAAAACAGUUACAGCUGCAGAAAUUUCACUCUCCAUUCUUUUCAGUGCACACAUCUCUCUCAAAGAAGUUUUCUCCUUGACCAGGCUUAAGUUUGGGUAGCAGCUGCUUUUGGCUUUUUCCUAUUGACUUCAGCUUCCCCCUUACUUUCUCAGAAAUAAGCAACAGCCAGUACUUCAGGACAACAAGGUAAACACAACACUGUCUUCAUAGGAGCUGCUGCAAUUCUCUAAAAUGCACCCACUCUCAUUAGGCAUAUUUUAAAUAUGGUUGGCUUUUUUUCCCCUCCUCAUGACUUCAGACUGCUCAAUUUGUGCUUCGAGACAGCCCAACAAAAAUAAAACUCUGGAAAUUGCUAGUCCCUGCAAGUCAGGCCUGAACACAGCUGGCAUUGCAAAGGGAAACUGAAACCAAAGCGUGACCCAACACUACUCUAAGCUAAUUUCCUGAAAAAGAGUGAAAGAAAAGUCAGAUAGGACUGAGCUAUAAACAAAAACAAGAAGCCUAAAUUCAUUAGAAUGAGCAGACUACAGAAAUACAUUUGAAAAUGAAAGGAAAGAACGCCCACUGUAGCAGCUAGCUUAGGGACUUUAAAAAAAAGUGUCCUCUAAUGGUACUAGUUAAUUUCUACAGAAAUAUAUGUAUUUCCAACUGAUAGAAUUAUUAGGAAAAAAAUGAGGUCAGGUCUUCCCAUCUUUCUGGAAACAAUGCUGCACACAUAGAGACAUAAGCACUUACCACCUGCAAGAACAACCUGCUGAUGCUCAGGUGGCUUGUCCUGAAGGCUUCAAUGGAUGAGUGGAAGUUAAUAAUGAACAAAGCCUUCUAGGACUCCUGUGGUAAUGAAGGCAGGAGGAGAACAGCAAAGCCAUUAGGCAAAAGGGAAGCAGCCAGGAAAGUUGAGAAUUGUAGGUCAGUUGGACUAUCAUCAAUAACAGGCAGAGGGAUGUUAGCACAGGAAUCCAUUAACUGGUUUCCCAUCUUCCAGUACCUAUGAACAAGCCUCUGAGCAAACCAGCUCACACUGAGCAGCGCUGAUGCUGCCGCUUGGUUUGUACUGGCAAGCUGACAGGUAUUUGAUUUUUUUACAUAGUGGGACUUCACAUCACGGUAUUUUAAAUUUAGAGGUUAGCACUGAGCAAUACAAUAAAGCACUGCCUAAAUGGGCAAGAAAUUGACUUGCUGAUCUCUAUUCAGAGAGAAACACCAGCAAAGACGCAUUAAAAAUAGACAGAUGUGAAAUGAUUGGUGUAAUGGAUUCUUUACAGAAUUAAUUUUUGCACUUUGGAUGCACCUUAAUUUAGACUAAAGAGUUUCUAAGUGAAGAACUCUUUCAGGUUCAACAUGCACUGUCUGGGUUUUCAUGCUGGGAUAGAGGAUUUGCAAAAUCUCUGAGCUUCCUUCUGACUUAUCCUCAAAGUUUAGAUCUGCAGAUUAUUAUAGAAAUACCACAAACAGGCACAAGAUGAGACAUGCAAACUAUACAACUUAAUAGGUAGUGAAAACUGAAUAAUUUAGACCCAGUGUUUUUCAAUUCCUUGUGAUUCUGAGGCAGUCAAAUAUUUAAUGUUACAUUACAGAGAAAAAAUGUUCUGGGCAGGAAAAUUAGCUUUACUCAAUGGGUUACAGCUCAUAGAGACAAACAGCAGAGAGAUUAAUGCAUCCCAUCCCAGGGAUCUCAUUUAGACACACAAGCCCUUCCCUUGAACUGCAGCCUAACUUCACCACAGCAGAAAUAGGCCAAAGCAUAUGCCAAUAUCUCAGGCCAACUACAACAGAAAUUUGAAGAAUUGUCACAACAGCUGAAGAACCGAAAUGGAAAACUGUCUAGAGCCAUCAGAGAGGGACAGUGAACCAUCUGAGCUGCAGCAUAACACAAACAAAACCAAGCUUCAGUUUGUCAGAGCAAAAGCCUGCAGCUGACAAGUCAAAUGGUACCCAGAUAAAAAAGAUGCAGAAAGUAAACUUGGCAUCAUUGUGAAUGAUGAAACUGGAGAAAAAAACCUCAAUGAAAACUUGCUAACCACUGAGUAAGCCCUGUGCUUUGGGCAUCCAGCUCAUAUUGAACUGAUGCUGCUUAACUCAGCAAUACGUGAAAACAGAUUUCACAUGAGAACAGCUAACCAUUAACUUCCAGUAUGAAACCACUGUCUUCUGCACAGCUCUGGCUGAACUAAUUAAGGAGCCUCUACACUCAGGCACAGACUUGUCAGUGACUGUCAGUCAUGAUUUGGUACAAUAAUGAUGAUUUGUUUCAGGCUUUCCAACACUCACGUUCUGAAAACACUGAGUGGUAAGAAAUAAUAACCAACAACUUUGCACCAAGAAUCUAAAUUACUUUCUCUUUACUCAACUGGUAUCUCAGCCCAUCAGAGAACUUCAGAAAGUAUGAACUUCACAAAGCUUAUAACACUUAAUAGCAAAAGCUUGCAUAGGAUUCAUGUACUCUAUGUGAAAUAGUGGACAUCCAGAAUAAAGCUGUUUUCAAAACACAGUAGGACUGCUACUCUGACAGAACAAAUGUUUAAAUGCCUAGUUUGCAGUUCAAGCUUGCACUAGGACUCCUCUUGGUAAGCAUCACCACCUUGAAAUCCAUGUGAACCAGCUGUGGACAAUGGGACAGAUGUUCUCAGCUCAUUCAUCCUAACGGCCCUUGGAUACAGAAGAGAACAGGAUCCAGCUCAAAGUCUACCUGCCCUGGCAAUUUUCAGAUAUUCCUGCUCUCUUGGUUCAGUUUCAGACUUGAAAUAAAGUUUGUGGAAACAGCUCUAAAAAACUUGGUACCCUUAGAAGCACACACUAAAACAUAAAAACCAAUUCCAGUCCAAAACAGAACCACAAGUCAAAUACAUCCCACAUCUUUUGGGUAAUAAAAAGAGAAAACUCAGAAAUGUUUAGUAAUAAAAUUUGAUUUUUACUUCAGUAACAAUAACAGAUGUCUAAGCUAUAAAAAAUAAUUCAUUGCUAAGAUCAUAUUUCAAAGGGAGUGUCAGGGCAUCUGCAGAUGAACCCCUGGUUCAAUGCUAAAUGGAUGUGAACUCUGGUGUUUAACAUCAGUGACUGCAGACAAAGAUGCUUCUAUAUCUGUAUGGCAAUUGUAUAUGAGACUAAGAUUAGCAAAGCAGGCUACCACUACAUCAAAGUGACCACAGUUCUUCACAAAGAGCAAAUGUACUGGUUGCUUGCUAUAAAACCUCUUUCUUGACUUCUGAUUAUAAAGCUCCAGCUCAAAUCUUUCUUCUCCAUUUAUUUUCAUUUAUCUUGGUGAGGAAAAAUUGCAUUUUGGAACUCCACAUGUUAUAUUAAAUCUGUCCCUAUCCAGUGUAAUUUAUCAAUGCUGCCACAGUACCUAAUAUUACUUGCUACACUCAAACCCAUGUUUUAAAUUUGUAAUUUAAUGAUAGAAAUGGACUGUGAAUGUAUCAGAGGGUCUACAGUUCCAUUAUAAUUUUUCAAGCUUAUUUCAUUUUCCUUCAUUUUCUCUAAUUAUUGUACUUUCACAGGAUCCAUUACCUCUAAGCUGUUACAGUUGCAUAGCAGCUUCACCUCAUAUUAUCUUAAUUUUAAGGGUUUUUUUGUUGGGUUGUGGGUUUUUUUUGUUGUUGUUGUUGUUUGGGGUUUUUUUUAAUACCUUUUGUAGUUAAUGUAUCACAUUAUAUUGUUGUGGACUUGCAAGUGGAGGGUGAUGGGUGGACUUGACCUUGCAUGCCUGUUCCAACCUAAAAGAUUCCUUGAAAACUUCCAGAAAGGUUUACAUGCUGCACUGUAGACCAACAGGAGGGACACAAGGUUUUAUACAUAUACCCCUUCCAACAGCUUCAGAAAAGAAAUAAGAAAAAAGGGAAAACUAAAAGAUAUUUGAGAAGCUUGUAUGGCAGAAGAGAAUAAUCACACAGAACUAGUAUUCAGCAUGAAAAUUUAUAUUUUCAUCCACUUACACAUAAUGGUUUGUUUCUGGGACAAGCCAUUACUUUGGCUUAGUGGAAACAGUAAAACAAACUAUCAUAAUCUUCAUUUUUGCAUCUCAAAGCUCUACACAGAAAAAAACCCCUGCAAGUUGAACAUCAACUACAAGGGAUUUUUUUAACCCUUAAAUAUUGCCAAAUAAACUUUUUCACUUAUAGAAGUAAGUUGGAAAAAAAAAAUAAAAUUUGGGUAACCAGAAAACAAAUAAGGAAUUUUAGAAAAGCAGAAAUGGGACUUCUUUAGCUGUUUAAUUUAGAGUUGUGUUUUAGUUUUUGUUUGUUUGCUUUUUUUGGUAGUGGAGUUGGGGGUAGAGCUGUGGUAUUUUAGUCCAAGUGACACAGCUUCUGGUUUUACUGGAAAAAAAAAUUAAAAAAGACUGCAAGAAUUAUUAAAGCAAGUUCUGUGUCUAACAGUCAAUUACUCAAACAACUGAACUUUCUACUUUUGGUAACAUUUUAUCUCCUGUAUUUCUUUUGAACUUUCAUAAAUCCAAACCCUGGAGUGAUUUAGUACUGGAUGUAAAACACAAGCAAAAUUUUUAAGAACUCUCUAGAAUAGGAUUUCACUCCUCAAAAAAACUAUUGAAAUAUUCUUAAGGUAGAAAGAGAAGGGAUAUCAUUCCUACACCUUUAAAUGAUAUUGGCAUUUGCUCUCCAUUGCAUGUUUAACUUCCCCAUGACUACCUGGCAUCACUGUUUUGCCACAGUGGAUGCUUCCUUUGUUUUUAUGCUGUUAACACCCAGUUGUGAAGUGUUCCUGAAUACCACUCAAGUGAUUCAACAGCUCAUUUAUCUAAGAUAUACAGAUGAUAUAAUUUAUUAGGUAUAUGACAGAGUUUAACAGAGUUCUGGCUCAGUAUCAUCAAAAUAGAAAUGAAACCAUGUCCUGUCCCAGGAAGGUUGCAGCAGUGUUCAUCCACUUGCACAACACGAACAGUAAGACAAGGAAAGGGCAGCAGGGCUUUCCCAUUCACAUGUUAGUGGUGUAGGAGCAGCUCUGAGCAAUGCCAAGACCCACAGCUCUAUUCCCUAAUGCUUGAAUAGAGGAGUCCUUAUUCCUUAUAAUCUAGAUUUCUACUCUCAGGGUAAAAAAAAAAGAACAAAAAACCAAAAAAACCCAAACACUUUCCUCAGGACUGUACUAGGUCAUAUGAACAGCAAGGAACUUCUACCACAAACCCCCCCCCCAAAAAAACCCCAACAAACAAACAAAAAACCCAGUCAUAGAAGAGUUACAGUCACAUACCACCUAAAAGAUCUUUUUACUGGUUUUAGUGAGUUCUAACCAUCAACUGUUCAUGAACAGUAUCAAAAAUUGAGAGCUGAAGCCUUAGUUACUCCUCUGAUAGCUAAAACUCUAAGAUGAACUUAGACUAAACUGAUUAUGCUACAGCUAUGGAAGCAUCCCACACAGCAUCUCUGCUGCUCACAGACAAUGGAUGUCUUUGAGAUUGCUAAGAACACAGUUUAGAUUUUUAAAAGCCUGAAAAGCCCUUCCUAUGGACACCAGCAGCAGUAAGUUUUGUCACAGGCUCAGGGCUGAGCAGUUUCUAGGUGACAGUCAAGCAGUUCACUUUAAAUCCUUCCCCUGGGGUUCCCAGGGCUGCCCCACUAUGCCAAUCUCAGCAGAGGCAGCUCCUUCCAGUUGUAACUCAUCCACAAAAGGAGGCAGGACUUUCCAAAUGAUGGCUCCAUCAGAGUCUUGGGACAAGCAGAAAUUUCUGUCGAGGAAGAGAGAAGAGCUCUGCUCCUGUCAGAGGAACUGUCAUGGAGCACUGAGACUCUUGAAAGUGCCUCCAGCUUGUCCAGGAGCUCUGUGAGCUCCACCUACACAAAGAUUUGCAAUAAUUGUUGCUGCUACAAUUAAAAAACAGAAGAGGGCAGGAUAUGAAGAAGCUUUUCCAAUCAGCUAUACAUUGCAGCAAUACAGUUUUGAAAUUAUUCUAGUAAAAACAUGGAUGAUUAGAAUACUAAAAGCACUUGUAUCAAGCAUUAGCUGUCCAGAAAGGAAGAAUCUAACCAUGACAUUUUAACCUGGGAUCUCAAAUUGGGUAGCAUGUGAGAUGGAAAAACACAAGAAUUGAAGAAUACAAGGUAACAAACAUGAGAGAUAACACAGGAAUGUCCAGGUUCAGUUCCUAGGGACUGCUGUGUAUAUUUAACAGCUUUGUCCAACAGGCAGGAAAAUAAACUAAAAAACCAGAAGCUCUACAACAAGGUCUUAAUUCCUGCAUUGUAAUUUAAUGGCACUGAGUCUCAACAGCUACACACUAUUUCUUUUCAAUAAUUUCUCAAAUUAAUUCCAUGAUCACCUAAAGGGAGGCAAGCUGCAUCAGAGGCAGUUCAGAUGGGACAUUAAGGAAAGGUUCUUCACUGAGGGGGUGCCUGGUCACUGGAACAGGCUCCCCAGCAAAGUGGUCAUGGCACCAAGCCUGACAGAGCUCAAGAAGUGUCUGGACAAUGCUCUUAAGCCAUAUGAUUUAGUGGUAGGGAGUCCUGCAAGGAGCAGAGAGCUGACCUUUAAGAUCUGUGUGGGUCCUUUCCAACUCGAGGCAUUCUAUGAUUCUAAAUAAUAAAACUGCAGUUAUGUGGUCAAGCAGGAAGAUGAACACAAGAACUAAAGGGAUUUAUGUCUAUAGUUCAAGUGCUUACAGAGUUAAAAAAAAAAAACACAACAACUCUCCCCCCAGAAAACUUGGAAUUGUCCUUUAACAAGUAUUUUAGAGUUCUUCUCUAAGUCAGGAAGUGAAAUAAGCAACAUCUGACAUCAAUCUAAUAGAAUGGACCACAUAAAACUGAAUAUGAACCUCCACAGUCACCUGCUUCAACAAGCACAGCUUUUCAGGUCAAAUGUCUUUCUGAUGAGAAAAGUUUACAUAUUUUGCUGCCCUGUUUAAAAGUGACUUUUCAAAAAGUCAAAACAACCCUUAAAUUAAUGUCUUUGAUUUGAAGGCUCAUUGGACAAACAGAAUUAAACAGUUCAUGUUGUCCUGAACAAUUAUUUACAGGUAAAGAAAAAUAGCAGCUUUACCUUCAUAAACAAAUCAGCAUGGCUAAAGUCUCAAGCAGAGCACAGUUUACUAAAUAAGCCUUUAAACCAAAUUCAAAACGCACUUAUUUUUAAACUACUCUAUUAACUAUUGCAGUAGGACUACUACACGUAAAAGAAAGAUAUUUUGGAAGAGCUCAACACUGAAUUCCACUUGAUUACAGUGAAAAAGUCUUGUCACUGAUCAUUUGCAGAUUACUACGAUCAUCGUUCAAAGUUUAACUUAUUUUACAUCUACUGUGGAAAAAAAGAUACCACAUUAUAUUCCCUCAGCAUAAGCACAUUAUUUACAUUGAUAAUACACACUAUUAAACUUUAAAAACACAGCAUUGCAUAAAAGCUUCUAACACCUCAAUCUACUCCUGUGCUAUUGCAGCGAGGCACACUAAACAAGCCCCAAGACAAAAUACAGCAAAUAAGUACAAGGCAGCUCAGUUCAGCCUAAAACAAGUCAGCUACUUCUCUUUUUUUGCCUUAGACACCACCAUUAAUGCAAAAUAAAUGCAUGCUGGUAGAAUGUCAGUAUCGUGAUCAGAAUUUCUACCACAUUAUCUUGAGUGUCAAAAUCACAACAAGUACUUAACCUCCAUGUACUAAGAGCCAUUUACACAAACCCACUUUCACAUGAAUGAGAAAUCAAUUCAAGAGGCUCUGCUAUAACAAUAUCUUUAGAGCACCCAUAUCAAAGGAGAUUGUUUUUAAGUUGUGGCACAAAUGGGAAGUACAAGUGGUUUCAGUUGUCAGAAAGGCAAUUUUUCUUAACAUAUUUUACAUUCGAUAACAUCACCGUGGCAGGUUAUUCUUUUACCCCUGAUCUUCCCACAUUACCCUGCUGCUGGUAUCUGGUGGGCUUUGCAAGGAAAGCUUUUAGAAGUAUUUGUAAUGUCACCACUUUCUGUGUUGGUUACAUAGGCUUCCACAAACAAACAAACCAACCCUUCUGAAAGCAGUAAUUAAAAGCUACACAUUUAUAAAACCUAUUUCCUUGUUUAAUAGAGGAAACACUUAGCACUGAGCAAAACAAAACAGAACCUAGAAUUAUAUUCUUGCAGCAUGUUUGACUUCACAUAAACUUUCCCACUAGUCAAAAUCAAACAAAAUUAUUUAAACAUAUGGAAUAGAGCCUUACUCAAAUACAGCAUCUCUUCUGCAUGAGAUCCUUCACUUCAAACCUUUUUUACACAUAAAGGUAAGGGGACAACAAAUUUUCCUGCUUUUUUUAAGUUUAAUCCACAUUAAGGGAUUUGCACGAAAAGACACAUUGUUACUGAAGAAGUUUUAAAGAUUCUUCACAAGAGGAAUUUAAAGAUGUGUCAGUCAGACAAAUGUUACUUUCAUAAGAGCUAAAAAGCCACAACAGAAAGUUCUCAAAAUUAAUAAGAAAAUGGCAGGUAUGCAUUUGCUUUCACUAUGUAAAUGUAAUACUGAAGGUGUUUUCAUAGUUAUUAAAAUUAGCAUAAAUGAAAAACCUGUUAAUCCACCAACAAUAUCAAUGCAAUAUCAGUACUGGAACAGAGACUUCACAACAUGUUAAUCAGUUUGCUCAAAACAUCUCCCCAUCAUCAUUACAGGGGAACAAUUUUGAGUUGCAUGGAAAGAUUUUUAAAUCUUCAAGCAUGCAGACAAGUUCAAGCUGCAUGUAAGAGAUAACACUAAAAUGAGAGUGAAUAAUUAUCAGAGAUUAUAUGUGAAAGCAGAAGACAAUUAUCAAGAUCUUUUCUGAACAACUGAUACUCUGGAAAAAUAAUCCCAUACAAGUUAACAUAAUGAAAAAGAACAGCUAAUACAGGAAAAAUAGGGCAAAUACUGAAAUGUUACUCAUCCUUCGGUGUCUGUGAUAAUGGACAGUUGAAACAUCAUAAGCAAAAGAAACACCACCUGGAUAAAAUGGGAAUGCACAUCUUCUACAACCAUUUGGGCUAGUCUGCACCACAUCAAGGACCAGCUGGGUUAGAAUUUUUAUCUUGGCACCAGUCAUGCAAGACCAAGACAGACAGACUCUGCCCCAAGGGAUGCAGCACCCACGUGUCACAUUCUCUUUUCAGCACAGCCCCAGCGCUGGGCGCCUGUGCUGAGAACCUGGGUCAGGUCUAAAACACAGUGGAGCUCAGCAGGCUCUCAGCUCCUGCCUUUCCAAAUCAAAGUUACUGCUGGAAACAGUGAAACCAAGUUUGUGCAGCACUACCCCAAGCUAAAAAAGACUUACUGAUCCUAAAGGAAAUAGUGAAUUAAGGUAAAUACUUUACCACAGCUGCAGACAAAGAACUACUUCAUAGAACUACCCAGUUUCACUCAGCAUGGCCAUCCUGUUAAACUUCUCCCUCCAAGAGAGAUGGGGAGAUGAUGGGCUGGAAAAGGAAGCCAAAGUAGGGAAAAAGACAGAAGACUUCAAUUCUAGACUAAUGAGCUUUUCAGUCUUCUGUACAGGGCAAGCUGUGCACCCGAAUUUUGUGAAAGACACACAUUACUUAUUCACAUCAUAUACAAUCAGAAUAAUCCAAAGUAUUAUCCUAAAAGUUACUAUCAGAUAAUGAUAAUGUGGUUCAAAACUUAUGGUGGCAAUGCAGUGCUUUGGUACCUCAAAUGGUGGCACACUAGAUGCCAGAGGUUUUUUCUCUUAUAAGCUGAAGGUCAUACACUUUCAAACCCAGCAUUUAGGAAUGAGUCUCAUAUGUAUUUUAGCUUCAGGAACUGCAAUUUUACAGGCAACAAAACUCUUGAAAUUAUCACUCAGAAAUAGCUGUACUAUGAAAGUCAUCUUUAUAUUAAAAAAAGACUAAAAAAACUUUGUUUUUACUAUGUCAUUCUGACAGAUAAACAUUGCUGACUACUAUAAGCUUUCAAAACUUUCCUAUCAUUACUCUAGGUUUGGCAGAGUAACCAAACCAAGCAUUUUAAUAUUCUCCACAACAGCUACACAAAAUAACUUUAUAAAGUUAUCCCUGACUGCCUAUAAAAUUUAGGCAAAUUAACUGGCAAGCGAAGAUUAAUAAUGCAUCUGUAAAUGCUUAAA